rnacentral:rRNA from 1 species
UACGAAGGGGGCUAGCGUUGCUCGGAAUGACUGGGCGUAAAGGGCGCGUAGGCGGCGCAUCUCGUCAGGCGUGAAAGCCCUGGGCUCAACCCGGGGACGGCGCUUGAUACGGAUGUGCUCGAGGGCGGAAGAGGCUCGCGGAAUUCCCAGUGUAGAGGUGAAAUUCGUAGAUAUUGGGAAGAACACCGGUGGCGAAGGCGGCGAGCUGGUCCGCACCUGACGCUGAGGCGCGACAGCGUGGGGAGCAAACAGG